rnacentral:rRNA from 1 species
AUGCACGGGGCAAAGCACCGGAUCACCACCACCUCGCACUCGCAGCAGCAACAGCUCGGCGCGGCGAUGGGCGGCGGCGUGGACAGCCACGGGCACCGAUCGGCGCGGCCGGCGCUUCGGCACGCCAAGCUGAAGAUGCUCUUCGUCGUCAUCGCCACGAACCUCGUCUCGGUGUACCUCUUCUCCGGCGCGUCGCUGUCGCUCAACAUGCCCGCCUCCGCGCCGAGCAUCCACCUCUGGGACUCCACGGCGCUCCUCCGGGACCUCAACGCCACCCGCGACGCGCUCUCGCUGGCACGCGCGGAGCUGGCCUUCCUCCGGGGGCAGUGCGGGACGUCUUCGCUCCUCCUCGAGUCCGUGCUCGCCAAGCUCGGCGCCGUCCACGGCGAUACGCCGGCGGUCCAGGACUUCAAUGGCUGGCCCGAGGAGCCCACGGGCGAGCUCAAGAUGGCCAUCGAGCCCCACCGGCUCCCCCUCGGCUACUCUGUCAACUUCGGCACCGACGAGCUCUUCCCGGGCCUGGGCUUCGCGUGCCGCAACUUCCAGGAGGAGCUCACGCAGUACAUGACGUACAACGCGAGCGGCGAAUGCCCCGACGACGAGGCCCUCGCACUGCAGCUCAUGCUCAAGGGGUGCGAGCCGCUGCCGCGCCGGCGCUGCAGGCCGCGAUCCCCGGCGAGGUACGUCGAGCCGAAGCCGCUCCCGGCGAGCCUCUGGUCAAUCCCGGCCGACACGACCGUGAACUGGUCCCCGUACACGUGCAAGAACUACACCUGCCUCGUGGAGCGCGCGCACAGCAGGGGCGGGUCGUACGACUGCAAGGACUGCUUCGACCUGGCGGGCAAGGAGCGGCGGCGGUGGCUGACCGACAACGGCGGCCCUGGGUUCAGCAUCGACGGCGUGCUGCAGUCCAGGCCGCCGGGCACCGUGCGCAUCGGCCUGGACAUCGGCGGCGGGACCGGCACUUUCGCGGCGCGGAUGCGCGAGCGCAACGUGACCGUGGUGACCACGACUCUGGACCUGGACGCGCCCUUCAACCGGUUCGUCGCGUCGCGCGGGCUGGUGCCGCUGCACAUAAGCCUCGUGCAGCGACUCCCCUUCGCCGACGGCGUGCUGGACAUCGUGCACUCCAUGCACGUGCUCACCAACUCGGUGCCCGCCGCCGUGCUCGAGUUCGCGUUCUUUGAUAUCUACCGGGUGCUCCGGCCCGGCGGCGUCUUCUGGCUCGACCACUUCUUCUGCCUCGGCCCGCAGCUCAACUCCACGUACGUGCCCAUCCUCGACCGCGUCGGCUUCCACCGGCUCCGGUGGAAGGCCAGCCGGAAGCUCGACCUGGGCGCGGAGAGGAACGAGUGGUACGUCUCGGCGUUGCUCGAGAAGCCCAUGACAUGA